AAACAUUGAUAGCUAUUUUACAACGCUAUCCGCCAGAGAACUACAAGUGAAAUACUUGAAACUCAAAGGACUUGACGGUGUCCCAUAUCGACCUAGAGGAGCCUGUCCUAUAAUCGAUACCCCUCGUUCCACCCAACCCCAACUAGCACCCCAAUUCAGCCUAUAUACCGCCGUCGACAGUCUACCCUAUGAAGGCCCAACAGUAGAUACAACAGCCCCUAACGCUAAUACGACAGGUCAAGGUGUAGCAAAUGCUGGGGAAGAGAUUGGCUACAUUUUUUAUAAUAAAAAACACGAAAUGCAUUAUGAAACACUGCAUGAAGGCGAAUUUAGUAGUAAAAUAAAUAAGAGAGUUUAUUUUAACAGC
rnacentral:rRNA from 1 species